ACUAAUAGGGCUGCUGAGCAGGACACUGUGAUAUAGUGGUUGUGGGAUGGAUUUCUCCGUUGGUA
rnacentral:tRNA from 1 species